GACGGAGGGUGCUAGCGUUGUUCGGAAUUACUGGGCGUAAAGGGCGCGUAGGCGGCCGUUUGCGUCGGAUGUGAAAGCCCGGGGCUCAACCCCGGAACGGCAUCCGAUACGGGACGGCUGGAGACCGGGAGAGGAGGGUGGAAUAGCCAGUGUAGAGGUGAAAUUCGUAGAUAUUGGCUGGAACACCGGUGGGGAAAGCGGCUCUCUGGCCCGGUUCUGACGCUGAGGCGCGAAAGCGUGGGGAGCAAACAGG
rnacentral:rRNA from 1 species